rnacentral:rRNA from 1 species
AUUGAACGCUGGCGGAAUGCUUUACACAUGCAAGUCGAACGGCAGCACGGGUGCUUGCACCUGGUGGCGAGUGGCGAACGGGUGAGUAAUGCUCCGGAACGUACCCAGUAAUGGGGGAUAACACAUCGAAAGAUGUGCUAAUACCGCAUACGCCCUGAGGGGGAAAGCGGGGGAUCGUAAGACCUCGCGUUAUUGGAGCGGCAGAUGCCGGAUUAGCUAGUUGGUGGGGUAAAGGCCCACCAAGGCGACGAUCCGUAGCUGGUCUGAGAGGACGACCAGCCACACUCGGACUGAGACACGGCCCAGACUCCUACGGGAGGCAGCAGUGGGGAAUUUUGGACAAUGGGGGAAACCCUGAUCCAGCCAUUCCGCGUGAGUGAAGAAGGCCUUCGGGUUGUAAAGCUCUUUCGCAAGGAAAGAAAACUUAUCUACUAAUACUAGGUGAGGUUGACGGUACCUUGAUAAGAAGCACCGGCUAACUACGUGCCAGCCGCCGCGGUAAAAC